UAACAAACUUGGAUUCAAAAAGCCGAACUCCAUGAAAAAUAAUAAUAAGAAAGAGAGCAACUCUCUGCACAUGAAAAAAACUGAAAAUCAAGGCCCUCGAAGUAAGAAAAGAGAUAGGAAGGGUCACUCUAACGAAACUCAUCCAUCCAAAAGGCCUCAAAAUUCAAAGCAGGACUCUGUUGAGCUACAAAAGGUUGCACAAACGAAGCCUAAAGGUAAAUUUCUGUAUGAAGAAAUUGGCAAGGAGGCCACAGAAAUCACCAUUAUAAGAAAAAAUAGUGAUCAUAUCUCCCUUCUUGAGUGGUACAAGGUGUGGGUCGUCGUGUUCUUUGCCGUAUGUAUGUAUAGCUUUAUAAUUUAUUAAUAUCUGUACUAUUUUAUAAUGAAUGUAUGUGCUAAUGUACUAUGGUAAACAAAAAUACAUUCUUAACUAACUAAACUAUGGUCACCUUUAUUAUGAAUCAUAGCCUUUACACGUCUCCUGAAGGCCAUGAAGGAGUUGAUGACAAACUCCUUUGACAAGUUGUCCCAUGCAGCCACUAUGAACGACAUCAGUGAGUCCAUAUUUGUGUGUGAGGUCACUGUUGACUUCCCUCUCCAAAGUGCCCCAUAUAGAAAAGUCCAGUGGGUUCAAAUCUGGUGAGGAAAGGGGCCAUAAAUCUCUUUGCACUCCAGCAUCUAGGAAAACUGAGAUGCACUGCAUUUUUGCUUGAUGCUCGCUCAUAGUAAUUAAAUGAUUAAUAAAGUUUGUUUAUGUAAAAAGGACGGAAUAUCAAAAACUAAUCAUUAAAAGUUUUCAUAGUAAUGAGAAAAUAAGCAUUUAUUAACCGUCCACGUUUUGCUGCUUUACCCUGUACAUUGUAUUCCCAAAACACUUUACUGUACUCCUGAAAAGUCCAAUCAAAAUAAAUCCUAAUAUUUCGAUGUUGAAAUAAUGUAUUUCCUUGGAAUUGCACGUAUAUUUUUAAUUUAGGUUUGGUGAAUGGAACCCAAUCAUGGAUCUUCUUCUUUUUUAAAUUUAAAUUAAUCCUUUAAUUGGUUAGAUAGAAUGCACAGAUUAAGUAUAAGAUGGACCGUGAAUCGAACCAUUGAAUGCUAGAGUUUAUUUACAGGAAAGAAAAUUGGCAAUUUUACUCAAGAUGGCCAAAGUAAGUGUUGCCAGUAACACUUAAAUUUUACAUAAACCAUAGGUACUUCCGGAACGCUGGAACUUUGAUCGGAUGGAGAGUAACAGUUUUUGAAGGUACAAAAAAAAAUGGAGGUCAUUACCAAUACCUAAAUACAUCUCAUGCUUCAUGAUAAUUUUGAAUUUGGUCAACUUUAAAAAUAUCGAACACUCUAUUCGUCAGGACUCCAAGACAUCUCCUCGCCGGGACGAUGAAGGCGUUAAGGCUAUAGAGAUGUAAAAAAGUCCUUAAUUACUUAAAAAGUCAUCUGUCGACUGUGAAAAUCUUCUUGACUGAGAAGAUUUUCACAGUCGACAAGAGUUUGAACCGCGAAAACGAAAGAUUUAUAACAGCAUCACCUGAGGAAGUCUAGGGCAACUUCAAGACAAAACAUCAGGCCCAAAAAAUGUGCUUGGGAGCCUUGCCUAUGAUGGUAGGAAAAGGGAAACCCUUCUUCUUUAAGCUCAAUGAGAAAAUUGGGGCUGAGGCCUACUAUGAGGUCCUCAGGUGGAAAAUCUUGCCCUGGCUGAAGGCUAACUAUCCUGAGAACAAAUGUGUGUGGACCCAAGACGGUGUCCCCAGCCAUACGGCCUUGAAGAUCCAGAAUUUCUUCAACGAGGACUUUGCUGACUUCUGGGAUAAGUCCUUCUGGCCCUCUUCCAGUCCUGAUCUCAAUCCCCUCAACUUGAAUGUGUGUGGAGUGUCUUAGAGAGCAAUGUUGGGAAGACAUCACACAGAAAUGUGCAAGAGCUCAAGGCCAGUAUUAAAAAGCAAUGGACCAACAUGCCCACUGGUUAUAUUGUGGCAAUCUGCACCAAGUUCCGACCUAUUGCUGAGGCUGUGAUAGAAGCUGGAGGCGGCUAUAUAGAAUAAUUCUUUCCAAGAUUGAUUGCUAAAAGUUUUUUUUAAUAACAUUUUUCAUUAAACAUCUUAACAAAAAGUUAUUAAGGUUUUUAGUUUGCUUCAUCAUUGCAGAAAAUUUCCCUGUCACAUCCUGUAUAUAUCUGUAUUCAAGUGUUUUAUAAUAUUUUUAAUAGAAAUAUGUCCCAUAUUUUGCGUUCGGGGACUAAACUAUGACAGUUUCAAAAAAAAAAAAAUCUUAGCAAUUGAAAGUCUUAUUUAUUUUGAAAUUUGAAAGUAAGUUCUCGUUUAUCUCGUUAGUUUAUUUACCAAUAAGAGACAACCAAUAAUUUUUCUUUAUUUAUAAAAAUAUUUUGAAUUCGUUUUUCAAAUUACAUAUUUGAUUGAUAA
rnacentral:lncRNA from 1 species